GGAGGAGGAGGAAGCAAAAAUUCAAAAAGAAGGAAAGAGAUAUUCACUCGUUGAUGCUAGAGGACUUGGAGAGCUCUUCUGCACACCGGAACUCAGCAAGAAGUCCACAACAAGAUGGUGAGAAUCAGGUUUUCUGGGACAGAAAGGAAGUUUCAACGAGUUCCCCACCACCCUGGAAAUCCUGUCCUCUUGUCUGUUCUGACUCUGUAUCAGACCCAGAAUCUUCAGGAAAUGAACAUUGCACCCCACAAGCCAAGGACCUGGGGGAGAAGGCACCCCUCUUGGAGUCGGCGCUAGAGAUCCUAUUAAGGGACCAUCAGGGGAGAGAACCACGGAAGACCCUUCCUGGCCAUCAAUACUGGCGGAACCAUACAUACCCCAACACUAAAUGCCGACAACGGCGCCAGGAUUCCAUUUCUGAAUUAGCUAGACAAGAGUCAAAGUUGCCACCUAAGUAUAUUAAUUAAGGUCAUUAGGAUAACAUUGGAGGCUGCUUAUACCAGAGGGCAAAUGAGUGGGCCCCCUCUCUCACCUGGCUGGAAGUGAGAAAGAGUUGUCUGUGUGUGAGCUGGGCUAAAAACAGGCUGGUUGCAGAAGCC